rnacentral:piRNA from 1 species
GCUUUAGAAAAUGAAUGUCAACAGAGAUGG